ACUACAGGAGGAAAUCUGGCCUCUUUACCUGCAGGAGGUGGAGCCGCUAAUGGAUAUGGAUAUAAAGCCGGAACAGCAAAUCUGCAACAAAUGAGAGAAUAUGGAGUUAUAUCUGGUCCAUCCAGCAGACAACAACCCAGAGGAGGUUACGAGGCUCCAGCUGGUAGAUAUGUCGCACAAGGAACCAAAGGCAAUGGUUAUAGUGCUCCUGCAGGUGCAUAUGGUGGACAAGGAAAUAAAGGUAACUGUACUUGAUUAUAUUAAGAAAUAAAAUACCAUGCAUAAUGAGAGCAUAAAAGUGUCCUUUUAAG